GACGAACGCUGGCGGCGUGCUUAACACAUGCAAGUCGAACGGAAAGGCUCCAGCUUGCUGGAGUACUCGAGUGGCGAACGGGUGAGUAACACGUGGGUAAUCUGCCCUGCACUCUGGGAUAAGCCUGGGAAACUGGGUCUAAUACUGGAUAUGACCUUUCUCCUUAUGGGGUUUGGUGGAAAGGUUUUCGGUGUAGGAUGAGCCCGCGGCCUAUCAGCUUGUUGGUGGGGUGAUGGCCUACCAAGGCGACGACGGGUAGCCGGCCUGAGAGGGUGAUCGGCCACGUUAGGACCGAGAUACGGCCCGGACUCCUACGGGACGCAGCAGAGGAGAGUAUAGCACAAUGGGCGGAAGCCUGAUGCAGCGACGCCGCGUGAGGGAUGACGGCCUUCGGGUUGUAAUCCUCUUUCAGCAGGGACGAAGCGUAAGUGACGGUACCUGCAGAAGAAGCACCGGCUAACUAUGUG
rnacentral:rRNA from 1 species